UGUCCAAGUAAUGUGUCUGUUAGUGACCAAAACCUGACUUUUGCUGAUUGACAGCAUCCCUAUCCUUAAUAGACC
rnacentral:snoRNA from 1 species